AAUUCUAAAUGCCUGCAUAACCGGUGUGUUGUAAUGUUAUGGGAGUGAUGACACUUUAAUUAGAAGAAGGGGAAAUGACUAAAACCAGGGCUUCUCAAACUUAAUAUUCAAAGGUUCAGAACGUUAGCAGCGUUAGCUGACUUGCUAAUUUUUAACGGUCGCCUGUUAGCCGGCCCUCGAGCUCUGUCACUUGUUGACGUCAAACGUCAUACGCUCACCUGCGUUGCCAUGACAACAGUGUCAGACAGGGAAGCAAUAUGUUUAGCCUUAAUCUUGGGCCAGGAUCGCUGUAACAAUCUCCAAAUAAACCUUAUGCUACAAACCUAACAAUGUGUUGAUAAGUAUAAAAGUAGGAAACGUGCACUUCAUUGCAUUGUAUUUUAAAGUGUGGGCUGGAUCCGGACUGGGGUCCGGACCUUGAGAAGACCUGCUAAAACUGUCAUUCCAGGUGGAAAUACACUUCUUUUUUUUUUACACAGUUGUAUUUCAGAUGAAGUUUCAGUUCUACCAGGCGGAUCAGUAGCCAGGGUAUUUCAUCACAGCUGUCUACAGUUCAAUGGAAAAACUAAAAAUGAAAAGUUUGUGCUCAUAUAGAAAGGCUACUCGGUUAGUCAAGACGUACCAAACACCUGGAAUUGCUGAAUGAAGAAUUUGAAGAUACAUUUAAAUUUCUAGAACAAUACAGAGCAGUCUGGUCAGCGUCUACUAGAAACCGUAGUGUCCAGAUGAUACAGCUGUUACCUGCCUUGAAACUGCUGAAGUGACCUGCUGUGUACAUGUAACCCCGGCUGAGAGUCGCCUCACACUGGUUCAACAAACCGUAUCUUAUAUCUGCCUGCACGUGCAACGUUGUCAUUUAAAUAAAUAGCACUAUUGCCAACUCAUGUAACACAACUUUGAGUCUAUCUACACUUGUGUGUUUCCUCCACUCAGUGUCAGGAGGGUAAAACCAUCCCAACCACAGGAACUGACGUGGUUUCACGUUUUCACCAGCAGCAGCUUGUUUGGAGAAAACUGGCAAAA